CAGCAGCCGCGGUAACACGUAGGGUGCAAGCGUUAUCCGGAAUUAUUGGGCGUAAAGAGCUCGUAGGCGGUUUGUCGCGUCUGCUGUGAAAACUGGAGGCUCAACCUCCAGCCUGCAGUGGGUACGGGCAGACUAGAGUGCGGUAGGGGAGAUUGGAAUUCCUGGUGUAGCGGUGGAAUGCGCAGAUAUCAGGAGGAACACCGAUGGCGAAGGCAGAUCUCUGGGCCGUAACUGACGCUGAGGAGCGAAAGCGUGGGGAGCGAACAGGAUUAGAUACCCGGGUAGUCCCUGUCUCUUAUAA
rnacentral:rRNA from 1 species